GAUGAACGCUGGCGGCGUGCUUAACACAUGCAAGUCGAACGGGAAUUACUUUAUUGAAACUUCGGUCGAUUUAAUUUAAUUCUAGUGGCGGACGGGUGAGUAACGCGUGGGUAACCUGCCUUGUACAGGGGGAUAACAGUCAGAAAUGACUGCUAAUACCGCAUAAGCGCACAGGACCGCAUGGUCCGGUGUGAAAAACUCCGGUGGUAUAAGAUGGACCCGCGUUGGAUUAGCUAGUUGGCAGGGUAACGGCCUACCAAGGCGACGAUCCAUAGCCGGCCUGAGAGGGUGAACGGCCACAUUGGGACCGAGACACGGCCCAGACUCCUACGGGAGGCAGCAGUGGGGAAUAUUGCACAAUGGGGGAAACCCUGAUGCAGCGACGCCGCGUGAAGGAAGAAGUAUCUCGGUAUGUAAACUUCUAUCAGCAGGG
rnacentral:rRNA from 1 species